rnacentral:rRNA from 1 species
AAAAUUUAUUAUUAAUUUGAUUUAUAUGUAAAUUUUUGUGAGGAUUUUUAUUAAUUUUAAAAAUUAAUAAAUUUUAUUAUAUUCGCAGUAAUUAAUUUUGUUAAUUAAAGAAAUUUAGAAACAGUAAUAUUAAAUAGUAUAGAUAAAAUUGGUGCCAGCAAUCGCGGUUACACUAAUUAUACAAAUAAAUUAUUUCAGUAAAAGUUAAAUUGAUUAUAAAUUAAAUAAAAUUAAAUUUAUUAAGUGAAAUUUUAAAUUUAAAUAAAAUUUAUUUAUAAAAAUUGAAGCUUAAAAAUUUUAAUAAA